rnacentral:rRNA from 1 species
UACGUAGGGGGCAAGCGUUGUUCGGAAUUACUGGGCGUAAAGGGGUAGUAGGCGGCCAACUAAGUCCGACGUGAAAUCCCAAGGCUUAACCUUGGAACUGCGUCGGAUACUGGAUGGCUUGAAUUCGGGAGAGGGAUGCAGAAUUCCAGGUGUAGCGGUGAAAUGCGUAGAUAUCUGGGGGAACACCGGUGGCGAAGGCGACAUCCUGGACCAACACUGACACUGAUGAGCGAAAGCCAGGGGAGCAAACGGG